GCUGCUGUAGCUCAGUGGUAGAGCACUUCAUUGGUAAUGAAGAGGUCCUGGGUUCAACCCCCAGCAGCAGCU
rnacentral:tRNA from 1 species